UUGACCUCGGAUCAGGUAGGAAUACCCGCUGAACUUAAGCAUAUCAAUAAAGCGGGAGGAA
rnacentral:rRNA from 1 species